rnacentral:rRNA from 1 species
UCCGGAGGGGGCUAGCGUUGUUCGGAAUUACUGGGCGUAAAGCGCGCGUAGGCGGACCUGCAAGUCGGGGGUGAAAGCCCGAGGCUCAACCUCGGAACUGCCUUCGAUACUGCGGGUCUCGAGUCCGGGAGAGGUGAGUGGAAUUCCUAGUGUAGAGGUGAAAUUCGUAGAUAUUAGGAAGAACACCAGUGGCGAAGGCGGCUCACUGGCCCGGUACUGACGCUGAGGCGCGAAAGCGUGGGGAGCAAACAGG